rfam:Oryza glumipatula chromosome 12, whole genome shotgun sequence.
AAAAAGGCAAACCCUGGGUUUCCGUGCCAACGUUUGACUGUCCGUCUUAUAUAAUUUUUUUUAUAAUUAGUAUUUUCAUUGUUGUUAGAUGAUAAAACAUGAUUAAUACUUUAUGCGUGACUUAUCUUUUUAUUUUUUCAUAUUUUUUAAUAAGACGGACGGUCAAACUUUAGACACGGAAACCAGGGUUUGUCUUUUU